GCAGAUUUAGUGCUUCAUCAGAUACUCCCCUCGAAAAUCAUGUCAACCCGACAACUUUUAAAUAUUGGUGUAACGGAGGUAUUGGAGGGAGCUUGUGAUACUCCCCCCGAGAAUCAUGUCGUCGUGACAUAUGACUUUUCGGAAUAUUUUGCAAUCUUUCUAUUUUGAUUAUCAAUGAACUAUCUUUUGUCUUUUCUUUGCCAAUCUUCCAUAUAAGCUAUCUUUAAAUUGUAACCUAGGCUCGAAACUAGAUUCACAAGCCGUAACUUAGCCACUCUGGACGUAAGUUAGACUCUGCUAACCCUCGCUUAGCCACUCUGGACGUUAGUUUGGUCGUACGAAUCGUAGUUCAGCAGUUUUGGCUAAAUUUGCGGAUAAUUUAUAUCUCCAAAUUAACACAGAGUUGCAAAGAAUAGUACAAAUAAAUCAAAAAUUAAGAUGCACAAUAUUAUUUGGAAUCCUAGGGUUAGAUCCGCAACUUAGGACUACAAUUCUGGAUUUGAACCCUGGUGUUUUAGCCAAGGUCCAGCCAUAGAGAUAGAGUGACACACGAUCCUCAUCAAGGCCAUAGCGACAGGAUGGGAUAUGAUCAUUAAGGCCACAACGACAAAAUUAACACCAGGGUACCAUUGAUUGUAGUCGCAAAUAUUUAGAAUCUCAUGAUUUGAUUUGUAAAUCGGAGUCGUAAUUUAGAUUCUUAAGUCGCACCUUGGACUUGUAAAUCGUAAACUUGACUUGUAAUCGUAAUUUAGACUCUUUGUCGUAAAUUAGAUUUUGAAAGAGAACUUAGAUUCGUAAAUACUUCGAAUCUUAGGGUUUGAUUCGCAAAUAUUCGUGAGAGUCGUAAUUUAGAUUCUUAAGUCGCACCUUGGACUUGUAAAUCGUAAACUUGACUUGUAAUCGUAAUUUAGACUCUUUGUCGUAAAUUAGAUUUUGUAAUCAUCACUUAGACUCGUGGGUCGUAAGCUAGAUCUGGGUAACGGGUGUCAUCCGGCCAAAGCGACGGAUUGAUCCCUAUGAAAUUAUCCCUUUUAGGUUUGCUGUAUUAAUCCUAGAAUCAUAACGUAGGCUCGAAACUGGACUCGCAAAUCGUAAUUUAGACUCUUUGUCGUAAAUUAGAUUUUGAAAGAGAACUUAGAUUCAU
rnacentral:lncRNA from 1 species